AACACGCGCGCAGCUAGCGCAUCAUUCAGACACGCAGCUGCUCCCAGAUCUCCAUUCACAGCCCCGGACGGCAGAGUUCCUGAACACGUUCUCCCUAGGCCGGACGCCUCCCCGUGCCAGCCCAGGAUACUUACAGCCUACCGGAAAACCACUCACCUAGGCUACGAUCCAGACCGGCAAUACAAACAGCUCUUAUCACCUACAGGACAUCGCGGUCUGCCGAAAUCGCUACCUGUGAACAUCAUUGCUUGCCUGGAUCUCUAACAGCCGAGAAGAAGGGACCAGCUGCCAAUCUGGAUAACUUCCUCUCUGUUUAAAAAUAUUGUUCCAAGCUAUGGCUGCUAUUUCAAAUGAAUGGAAAGAAGCUCCGGCUGGCUUUAAACACUGCACAGUAGAGGAGGGACUUUAAUGUAUCCACCGGGUAUGCAACAAGUCCCCCUCAUUUGCUUCCAUGGCACCGCUUCUUCUUCACAGAAGCCGAGGCAAGUGCUCUCUUUCACCCAAAGUGCAAGAAAAAGUGCAAACAUGUCACACUAAAAAAAAGUGCACAAAGGAAGCGGUCUAUCGCUAAGUCCUUCUCCAACCGGAGAGAGGCCCCCCAACAAACCUACCCUUCACCUCCGGGCCAAAAGGCACCUGCAAGGAUCCAGGUUCGAUGCCCUUUUUCGUCGAAGUUACUAAGGGACCGCAAAUGCACCUGGCUUCAACCUAGGCAUUAACCAAGGUAUCAGCCGAGGAGCCGUAUACUGAAGCCAAGAUGCCCAGGGGUUGGAGGAAGGUGAGGAACCAAAUGGCCGCACACCUCCCCUAGAUCGCCAGGAGGGACACCCAGAAGGACUACCGCAUCCUGAGAAAUCCUGUGUACAAACAAAAACACGCAAAGUUUCACAAAAAUAAUAAAUAAGUCGAUGAUUGCAGAUAUACUGCCCGGCCGGAUCUAUAAAAAUUUUCCUGAUUCUAGCCAGAAGGCCGGGAUACCACGGGUGAGUGCCAAAGGUGAAGAGUAUAUGGUGCAGUGCGUUCACUCAGUGAGCUAUAACACUCAGUGAGUUUCAGCACCUCAGGGUCACCACUCCCCGAGGAACAAAAGUACCUCGGUCUACACCCCCCAACCUCAUGGCGAGACCCGGAGUAAACAGGUCACAUCAGGGCAGCCGUUGAGCUGGUGUUGUGGCACCAGCCCCGGAAUGCCCCAGUACACCAGCUCCUCCAUGCAGCAUCCAUCCUACAUCAAUGGCAGAGACUAGACCACUAAUAAGAACAGAUACUACACUUGAUCUUAGCCAAAGCAAAGAGGAUAGAAUCAUUAUACAAUACCAUGGAAGUAAGACAAUGCAUUGAGGGUCACAUUCCUAUGUUCCACAUUCAUGAUGGUUCUUUUUGAAUGUUUUUGCAUCUCGGAAAGAAAAAAAAAACUAAACAAAACAAAACAAAUUGCCAGUCAUUUAUGGGAAACAGAGGGUCGGUAAUUCCAAUGAGAAAAGGAGAAUAUAAUCCAAUGUUGCAGCUGCCUAGCAACCGAAUAAUGACAAACACGCAAAACAAUUACCAACAUAACAAUUAGUAAGAACAGGAAAUGUGGUUAAAUUGCAUAUUAUCAUUUUCAUUCAACAUAACAGUAAUUAAAUUUCUUCUAGCAAAGUUGU